rnacentral:rRNA from 1 species
AGAGUUUGAUCCUGGCUCAGAUUGAACGCUGGCGGCAUGCCUUACACAUGCAAGUCGAACGGCAGCACGGGAGCAAUCCUGGUGGCGAGUGGCGAACGGGUGAGUAAUAUAUCGGAACGUGCCCAGUAGCGGGGGAUAGCCCGGCGAAAGCCGGAUUAAUACCGCAUACGACCUGUGGGUGAAAGCGGGGGAUCGCAAGACCUCGCGCUAUUGGAGCGGCCGAUAUCAGAUUAGCUUGUUGGUGGGGUAAAAGCCCACCAAGGCGACGAUCUGUAGCUGGUCUGAGAGGACGACCAGCCACACUGGGACUGAGACACGGCCCAGACUCCUACGGGAGGCAGCAGUGGGGAAUUUUGGACAAUGGGCGCAAGCCUGAUCCAGCCAUGCCGCGUGUGGGAAGAAGGCCUUCGGGUUGUAAACCACUUUUGUCAGGGAAGAAACGGUCCGAUCUAAUACAUUGGGCUAAUGACGGUACCUGAAGAAUAAGCACCGGCUAACUACGUGCCAGCAGCCGCGGUAAUACGUAGGGUGCAAGCGUUAAUCGGAAUUACUGGGCGUAAAGCGUGCGCAGGCGGCUUUGCAAGACAGAUGUGAAAUCCCCGGGC